rnacentral:lncRNA from 1 species
UUUUUAAAAUUAAUUAUUGUCUUAUUAUUUAAUAUUUAUUUUGGAAAAUUGGUCUCACAUGUCUGUUUUAUUUAAUAAUAAAUUAAUUUAACUUCUCUAAGUAUCUUAUCAUUUAAAUUUUUGUGUUAAUUAAUAAUCACAUCGAUUAUCUUUGUCAAGAUGCUUUAAAUAAUGUUUCGCCUGCUUUAACACAUGGUUUACUUAAAUUAAUUAAAAAGAAGCUACACAUAUAACAAAAAUUUCUCAACUUGGCAACAC